AUAGAAGUGAGAAUGCCGGAAUGAGUAGCGCGAACGCAGUGAGAAUCUGCAUGGCCGAAAGCCUCAGGUUUCUGGAGGAAGGUUCGUCCGCUCCAGGUUAGUCGGGAGCUAAGGUGAGGCCUAACGGCGUAGCCGAUGCACAGACGGUAGAGAUUCCGUCACCACCAAAAGAGUUAAACACAGGGACACAUUUGAAGUCUCGGAGCCGGGUGUUGGUUCCGGUAGCGAUCGAGGGAAAUUAGUACCGAAGUCCGGGAUGGAAGAUGGCGAGAAAAGCUGUGUGUAUUUCUGCGGUGCCCGUACCGCAAACCGACACAGGUAGGUAGGAAGAAGAUUCUAAGGCCAACGGGAGAAGGGUUGUUAAGGAACUCGGCAAAUUGACCCCGUAACUUCGGGAGAAGGGGUGCUCCAGAGAUGGAGCCGCAGAGAAUCGGCCCAAGCAACUGUUUACCAAAAACACAGGUUUGUGCUAAAUCGAAAGAUGACGUAUACGAGCUGACGCCUGCCCGGUGCUGGAAGGUUAAGAGGAGAUGUGCAAGCAUUGAAUCGAAGCCCCAGUGAACGGCGGCCGUAACUAUAACGGUCCUAAGGUAGCGAAAUUCCUUGUCAGGUAAGUUCUGACCCGCAUGAAAGGCGUAAUGAUUUGGGCACUGUCUCGACAGCCCGCCCGGCGAAAUUGUAGUACCGGUGAAGAUGCCGGUUACCCGCGACAAGACGGAAAGACCCCAUGGAGCUUUACUGUAGCCUAAUAUUGGGUUUCGAUGUUGCAUGCACAGGAUAGAUGGGACACUGGGAAGCAAGUGCUUUGGCAUUUGUGGAGUGGCCGUUGGGAUACCAUCCUUGCGAUAUUGGAAUUCUAACCUGCGCCUUUGAAUCAAGGCGGGGGACAUUGUUAGGUGGGCAGUUUGACUGGGCGGUCGCCUCCUAAAGAGUAACGGAGGCGUUCAAAGGUUCGCUCAGCUUGAACGGAAAUCAAGCAAAAGAGUGCAAACGCAGAAGCGAGCCUAACUGCGAGACUGACGGGUCGAGCAGUAACGAAAGUUGGAGUUAGUGAUCCGGUGGUAUGUGAGUGGAAAUGCCAUCGCUCAACGGAUAAAAGUUACCCUGGGGAUAACAGGCUGAUCUCCCCCAAGAGUCCACAUCGACGGGGAGGUUUGGCACCUCGAUGUCGGCUCAUCGCAUCCUGGGGCUGUAUUCGGUCCCAAGGGUUUGGCUGUUCGCCAAUUAAAGCGGUACGCGAGCUGGGUUCAGAACGUCGUGAGACAGUUCGGUCCCUAUCUGUCGUGGGCGCAGGAUAUUUGAUGGGAGCUGUUCCUAGUACGAGAGGACCGGAGCGGACGUACCUCUGGCGCACCAGUUGUUCUGCCAAGGGCAUAGCUGGGCAACUAUGUACGGAUCGGAUAAACGCUGAAAGCAUCUAAGCGUGAAGCCGACCCAAAGAUAAGAUAUCCCAUCGUUUCAAACAAGUAAGACCCCUUGAAGACUACAAGGUUGAUAGGCACGAUGUGUAAGUGGAGUGAUCCAUUCAGCAAGCGUGUACUAAUAGGUCGAGGGCUUGACCG
rnacentral:rRNA from 1 species